CAUUCACCAAGUGYCUGCUUACNAAAAAUACCAGAUMCUUGGUKRAUGGAAUCACUGGSCGNUUCGGACUAUAAUAACACAUAGCCGCCAUACMGGUCACAUAAGGAUCAAUACGCCAUACAGACAAACCUACNWCUCCUUGGAUAGUUGGAUACAGCACAGAACUGGUGAAUAUAAAUGNAGGACAUAUAUGUACUCGUAUGUAGUAUACUCGUAUGUAGUGUACYCGUAAAUACUGUACUCGUAUGCAGUGCACUCGUAUGUAGUGUAUUCGUAUGUACUGUACUCGUAUCUAGUGUAUUCGUAUGUAGUGUAUUCGUAUGUAGUGUAUUCAUGUGUAGUAUACUCAUAUGCAGUGUACUCAUAUGUAGUGUACCCGUAUGUAGAGUAAUCAGUGUACUCGUGUUUACAUGCACUUAAUAAAUAUAAAGACGAAAACUUAUCUGAUUCACUAACAUUGAUUGAUGAAUGCAUAUUUAAGCUUGCACCACGUGACGAUGUAUGCCUUGCAAAGGUUCCGUAUAUAGUAAGGGGUUGUUGUGCAUCUUCCCGUCGUUCAAUGUAUUUCCAGAACAAAUGUAUUGUUGAGUUAAUUGUAUCAAUUAAUGUACUGACAAUGGUUUCAAUACAUGCCAAAGUCUUUUUAUGAAGAUGUUGCUACACAAUUCACAGAGCAAACCGGUCUGAAUAUUGCAUU
rnacentral:misc_RNA from 1 species